rnacentral:rRNA from 1 species
UACGUAGGGGGCAAGCGUUGUCCGGAAUCAUUGGGCGUAAAGCGCGCGUAGGUGGCCCCGUAAGUCCGCUGUGAAAGUCAAAGGCUCAACCUUUGAAAGCCGGUGGAUACUGUGGGACUAGAGUACGGAAGAGGCGAGUGGAAUUCCUGGUGUAGCGGUGAAAUGCGUAGAUAUCUGGAGGAACACCGGUGGCGAAGGCGGCAUUCUGGGCUGCAACUGACACUGAACGACGAAAGCCAGAGGAGCAAACGGG